ensembl:lncRNA
UUUUGUAAUUUUGCAAUAUGAAUAAUAUAUAUAAUGCAAUAUAUAUAAUAAUUUUAUGUGAUUUUUUUAUAUAUAUAUCACAAAGAAUCUCAUAAAAAAUAUCUAUCAGUAAAAAAGUUUAUUCAUCUUUAUCCAGGAGCUGCAGAGACAUUAUUCAGAUUCAUACUGUAGUCUUGAGUGUGUAUUGCAUCAUUCUGUGCUGCUGAACUGAAUACCCACAAUCCUUCAAGGCACAAAGCUGGACCCAAACAGAAACGAAGAGGAACGUUUGUGAAAGCUGCAGUCGUGCCGCUGUUUCAACAAACCCCCGUCAGUGUUCAGUAUUCAUAAAACUGGCACAAAAAGUUCAAAUACGUGGAGAAAUCAUGUUGAACCUUCUUCACAGAGGAGACACAAGCUCCUGUCUUUCCUCUCAUCUGCUCAUCUCUACAGGUUAUGCAUUUAUGAUAAAUGAAGGCGUGUGAGAGAAUUGCAUGUUGAUGUAGUAACUAAACACACACACACACACACACACAGAAGAGCUUCAUAACCUCCAGCGAUGUGUCUGUUUGUUAGGUGUGUGAUGAUGUGUGUAUUGUCUCCAGUCCACAGGCCUCCAGUCCGUCUCUUUCCUAUAGAUAACAUGGGAAUGAAGGAAAAUUCUGGAACAUCGGGGAUCAGAGAAAAAUAUCAAGAGUUUCUAAACCUUACAGCAGCAUCAAGCAUUUGUUGUGAUGUCAGUCACCUUUAACUGUGAACGGCCCUCGGUGACGACGACACGAGCGCUCACUGGAUUGAGAGACGUUCGUCUGUUACCAUGGUAACAAUUCACAUAUGAUUUUACAUUGAAAGACACUGUUUCAGAUAGUAAAUGUUAUGGGAAGCAUAACUUAUAUUCUCAUUAUAUACACUACCAUUCAAGAAAUCUGGGGUCGGUAAGAUUUUUUUUUUAAAGAAAUUAGUUUUAUUCAGCAAGGAUGGAUUAAAUGGAUCAAAAGUGAGUUACAGUUAGAUUUCCAUUAAAAUAAAUGCUGUUCUUUUGAACUUUCUAUUCA